rnacentral:sRNA from 1 species
CAGACAGUGCGAUAUAAACUACUACUUUAAAAUUUCUGUGAAUAUAUAUAUAAUUUAUAUAUGUUUAAACUCACAGAAGCCAAUGUGGUAAAGUUGUAUUUCUUUUGAACUAAGUUCUAAGCAGAAUGGAUUCUAUCAUGAGACAUUGGCCACUAACUGUACCAAGCGCAUCUCACUACCUCCCAUUAGUGAGUGCGCCACACUGUAACAGAAUUCUUUGAAUUUGUAACGGGCGUACUACCAAUUAACAGACUAAGCACUAUCCUACUUACUGAUUAAGAGGGGAAAGAGAGAAGAGAUUAGAAGAAAGGGUCAUACAAAGAGGCUCUUAUAGAAGAGGAAUCAGAACAGAAGAAUAUCAGAGAUCACAUCAAGAUGAGGUGUGGAGUGGAGGAAUCAUUAGAGACUACACAAUCACAGAGUGGAAUUGUGAGGAGGGGAGUAUUCAUAAGCACACUGCACACAUGAGCGCGUGAGUGUGGAGUGGUAGGGGAUUGGUUGUGUAAAUUGACUACUAACAGAUGCUAACCUGUCACAUUAUCCCCCUCUACUGAGGUGAGCGAGGAUUCAUAGACAUCAAGGGCAACAGCAUCUUCCAU